GGAGUAUUUAGAAGGGUGUACUGCACCUUCGUAUGAUACUAAUCAGUUACAUGCUGCUGUGGUCGAGUUGUAUUGCCACGAAGGUGCGGAGAUUAAGUAUUCCACUGUGCAGAAUUGGUAUGCGGGAGAUGAGGAAGGUAGAGGAGGGAUUUAUAAUUUUGUUACAAAGAGGGGAAUUUGUGCUGGGGCUAGGUCGAAGAUUUCGUGGACACAAGUGGAGACUGGAUCAGCUAUUACCUGGAAGUAUCCGAGUGUUGUGUUAGAGGGUGAUGAAUCAGUUGGUGAGUUCUAUUCCGUGGCAUUAACCAAUAAUUAUCAGCAGGCAGAUACAGGGACAAAGAUGAUACACAAAGGGAAGAAUACAAGGAGCAGGAUAAUUUCAAAGGGUAUUUCAGCAGGACAUUCUAGGAACUGUUAUCGAGGACUAGUUCAGGUGUUGUCCAGUGCAGACAAUGCCAAGAACUCCUCUCAGUGUGAUUCAAUGCUUAUUGGUGAUACUGCUGCUGCCAACACUUAUCCAUACAUUCAGAGCAAAAACCCAACUGCACGCAUUGAACAUGAAGCGACAACGUCAAAGAUCGGUGAAGACCAGUUAUUUUAUUUCCAACAGAGGGGAAUCGACUACGAGAAAGCAAUGGCUGCAAUGAUAUCGGGUUUCUGCAGAGACGUUUUCAAUGAACUUCCUGAUGAAUU
rnacentral:misc_RNA from 1 species